GUGUUAAAAUUGCUGUUACCAACAAUCCUAAUAUGGUCGUAUGAGUUGCUAUAGUGGCCAGAUUACGAGGAUCUGUAAAAUUUUCUAUUAAGGGUAUCGUUCCCAUAGUCCAAUCACAGCAUAAAUCGCUUGGAAGAAAUAGCAGCCUUAGAUUAACUGCUGCGAGGUAAUUAUAGAUACCUGGUAAAUACAGGUAACUUUGAGCCCAUUACAUGUAACCGAAGGAUAAGUAAACUAAACGUGACAAGCGUAAGGACUGUCAGUCGUUUUGUACCUUCACUGGACCAAGCAAGUGAUAUUUUCUUCCCACCAAAAGCUGCCUUUAACGUCAGGAAAAUAUCCAUUGCUCUUACCUAAGCAG
rnacentral:misc_RNA from 1 species